rnacentral:sRNA from 1 species
UUUUUGAUGUUAAUAAAUCUUGAAACCUUAAUUACUCUUACUCUAUUUCGUUUUUGUAUUUGAUUAUUUAAGUAAAGUUGUUUAGGUUGUUUAGAUCUACAUUUUGGUAUGAUUUCAGUAAUUUUUGGGUUUGUGUUCUUGAGAAUGUUGCUUAAGUAGUGAUUAGGGUUCUUGAGGAUGGAUUAGAUUAGGGUAAUCUCUAGGUUAGUUAGGUGGUUAGUGUUUAGGUUUAUACCCUUCUAGAUUCACUUUGCCCCUAUGCGGUUUUUGCUGGCUAAUGUGGAGAUUCGAUCAUAGACGUCCAGCGUCCAAAAGACGUUCAAAUGGAUGUCUGACCUACGAAUUCCAGAGAUUUGCACACUCGACCAAGGGAUUGGCUGGUUUGCCUAUUGGCUUUGGUAGAUUGUUUCUUAAACCCUACUCUGCUAUAUUUCAUCAACGAGAGUUGAGAUUAGGAAGUGGUAGAGUUAUGGGGGUCUCUGUCACGAGAGUGGAUUGACCCGGUUUUUGAAUCUAUCGUCAUGGGUAUCUACCUUUCGCCUAUUAGCCAUUUGAUGAACCCUAGAGUUGCCCUUAUCAAUGAAUCCAUCCUUAGAAUUUCUAUUAGAUUUAUUUGUAUCCCCUGUUGAUUGUACUUUUAUUUACCUGUUAUUUGCAUCCCCUAUUUGUAUCCCCUGUUGAUUGCAUUAAGGUUACUUAAUUUUGUCGCUUGUUGGUUCUACUCGACCCAAUGAUCGAGUAGGGCUCUUAAGUUCUUAUUUUUACUUGUUUGAAUCCUGACCUAGGAUUGUUAUUAGAAACCCACAAUCAUUAUAAUCUGGCUUGACUUAGUAGUUUUUGUACACAUCUUGAUUGCUAGCAAUACAGUGAAAUGGAUUGACACCCCCUAUAGCUGCAUCGACAUGUUUGUGUUUUAGGGGAAUUGAACUGAACUCACACAACAUUCUGUAUAAGUAGGCGUAAAAAACCUGCUUAUCAUGAUGCUAGCAAUCAAGAUGCAAUCAGAGUUCACAGAGUCAAGCCAAGCAAUAACAGGUUUUAGAGUCUGCUAGCAAUCCUAAGUGAACAUGCAGGAAACAGAAAAUCAAGCAGAAACAAUAAAACACUCGACCAACACAACUCGUUGUAAAGCCCUAGGUGUGGUCGAGUAAUAGACAGAAAAUGUAACAGGGAUACUCGACUGUACAGUCUGUUGCCAGACAACUGGGUGGUCAAGUAACAGGUCGAGUAAGAAGAGAAAAAUGCAAAAACUACCCAACAGGUAACAAGAUGCAGUAAACAACAGAAGAGUAAACAAAGAAAUCAAUUAGAUAAAGAAUUCUCGAGGAUGGGGUAAUUGAGUAGUUUCGUUUCCUCAGUUUACAGGUGAUUGACAUGCUUAAUAAAUUAUCCCUAGACAACAAGUUCGAUAACCAAAUCUAAGUGCCAGCGCAACAAACCCUCAAGUUAAACCAGUCCCAGACUCAAUCACCAUUGACGAGAGCUAAUGAAUGGAAGAGGUUACUAGGUGC